CGAAGGGGGCUAGCGUUGUUCGGAAUUACUGGGCGUAAAGGGCGCGUAGGCGGUUGAUCAAGUCAGGCGUGAAAAUCCUAGGCUUAACCUGGGGACUGCGUUUGAUACUGAUCGGCUUGAAUUCGGGAGAGGAUGGCGGAAUUCCCAGUGUAGAGGUGAAAUUCGUAGAUAUUGGGAAGAACACCGGUGGCGAAGGCGGCCAUCUGGACCGAGAUUGACGCUGAGGCGCGAAAGCGUGGGGAGCAAACAGGAUUAGAUACCCUGGUAGUCCACGCCGUAAACGAUGAGUGCUAGACGUCGGGAGGCUUGCCUUUCGGUGUCGCAGCUAACGCAUUAAGCACUCCGCCUGGGGAGUACGGUCGCAAGAUUA
rnacentral:rRNA from 1 species